rnacentral:rRNA from 1 species
UACAGACGGUCCAACCGUUAUUCGGAAUCACUGGGCUUAAAGAGUUCGUAGGCGGUCAGGAAAGUGGGGUGUGAAAGCCCUCGGCUUAACCGAGGAAUUGCGCUCCAAACUCCCUGACUUGAGGAGGCUAGAGGUAAGCGGAACUGAUGGUGGAGCGGUGAAAUGCGUUGAUAUCAUCAGGAACACCGGAGGCGAAGGCGGCUUACUGGGGCCUUUCUGACGCUGAGGAACGAAAGCUAGGGGAGCGAACGGG